UGUGGAUCGUGGCGCCCACCCGCUUGCUCAGAAUAAGCUGAAUGAGCUGCAUCAGGAUGCACCAGCCUGGCUGGUAACUGGAGCACAUUUCAUACACAUGGAAGAUAACAAUAGGUACCAGAUUUGGAAGGCUGGAACUACUCUGGGACAAGAUACAAAGGAGGAAGUAGAAGAGCAAAAGGGGGAACGUCAUGAAAAAAAAAACCCACCUUGGAUUGGAAUUUAGAAGAACUUGGUUCUGGUCUGGUUUAUAUCAACUUGAAGUGUGACCUCAAUUGAUCCAGAAGGGGCUGAGAUAGAUGACUAUCUGAGACAAAGACACAAUUCUACCAUGGACCAAAUUUCCAAUUGAUUUGGUAAAGACUUACCCAGCUUUUAGACAAACAAACAUUGCUGAGGCCAAACAGGCUGGAGUGAUAGAAGACAGAAGAUAUCAAGAUUCCAGCAGCUGUGUCUGAUACCAGGUAUUCAAACAGAAGAUCUGGUUGGGGAAUCCAGCAGCCUGGCAUCCAGUUAUGGCUCUACCACUAAAGAGCUACAUGACUUGUCAACAAGUAUUUAUGAAGUGCCUGAAAGUGAGUUGCCAGGCAGUGGGCAAGGAAGGUACUGGGGAACACAAAUAUAAAAGUGAAGCAGUUUUUUCUUUGAAAGGGA